UUGAUCUACUUCUGCAUGGGGGUGGAGCUGGUGUCAUGUCAGAUGCAUUCAUAGUGGAAUAAAUCACAAAAGAAGCGACACUUAUUUGUAAGAUUACCGUGGCACCCAUAAGAGGGAGACAUCCCAUUAAGUGUCAACAACAUGGAAGGAGGUGAAAAUCACGUUGCUUUGUAGGGAGCAGAAAAAAAUCCCACCGGUUUUCCUCUCUGUUUUCUGACCCUGCAAAGAGGUGACCAGUAAUCUUAUUCACACACUGCUUCCAUCACAGACCUCUCCAUAUGCCUUACAUAAGCCAGUAGAGGGCUUCCUAACACCAGAGGACAUGUGAAAGUGUGAGGAGGACUACCAGAGACAACAACGGCAGCAUGAAUGUCGCCAGAGGAUCCCUUCUCUCACCCAACCACCCUGUUAGAACCUCACAACCUGUUUCAAAUGAAAUUAGCAUAAUUAAGAAUUAACAUGCAUUAAUUGUUGUGUUUAAUGCAAACUGAGGACAAAUGUGUCAUUUCCUGCGGAAGAACCGCUAAAUGCUUUGUCACCUCCCCAGAGGCGUCAUAGGUGAAAAUAUAAUAAAUGACUAAAUAAAAUGGAGAACAAGCAACUGUUUUGUCUAGAUGCAAUGAGGAUUGGAGUUAUUUACAGUGUAGGUAGUUCAAUGCAGGUAAUUAAUAGACUGGGUGCUACACUUGCUGUCAUGCUUGCUUAGAGGCAUGCAUUUGUUUGCGGUGUCAAUUAGAACUGUGAAAAAAACUGAUGCUUCCAUGCAUGUUAUUCCAAGACAUUAUAUUAACUAACUACCAUUUCUUCCAUGUGAGGCAUACUGAUGAAAUAAAUAUACUGUGUUAAGGCCUUGA